rnacentral:precursor_RNA from 1 species
UAUGGUCACUGCUGUGACACGGGUUGGAUCUUCCUAUGCCACAGCAGUGACAAUGC